UAGGGAAUCUUCCACAAUGGGCGCAAGCCUGAUGGAGCAACGCCGCGUGUGUGAUGAAGGGUUUCGGCUCGUAAACACUGUUAUAAGAGAAGAACGGCACUGAGAGUAACUGUUCAGUGUGUGACGGUAUCUUACCAGAAAGGAACGGCUAAAUACGUGCCAG
rnacentral:rRNA from 1 species